ensembl:misc_RNA Y_RNA Y RNA
GGCUGGUCCGAGUGCAGUGGUGUUUACAACUAAUUGAUCACAACCAGUUACAGAUUUCUUUGUUCCUUCUCCACUCCCACUGCUUCACUUAACUAGCCUUAA